rnacentral:rRNA from 1 species
GACGAACGCUGGCGGCAGGCUUAAUACAUGCAAGUCGAGGGGCAGCAUGAUUGUAGCAAUACAAUUGAUGGCGACCGGCAAACGGGUGCGGAACACGUACACAACCUUCCAACAAGUGGGGGAUAGCCCAGAGAAAUUUGGAUUAAUACCCCGUAACAUAGCGAUGUGGCAUCACAUUGCUAUUAUAGAUUUUUCGCUUGUUGAUGGGUGUGCGGCUGAUUAGAUAGUUGGCGGGGUAACGGCCCACCAAGUCUACGAUCAGUAGCUGAUGUGAGAGCAUGAUCAGCCACACGGGCACUGAGACACGGGCCCGACUCCUACGGGAGGCAGCAGUAAGGAAUAUUGGACAAUGGACGCAAGUCUGAUCCAGCCAUGCCGCGUGAAGGAUUAAGGUCCUCUGGAUUGUAAACUUCUUUUAUAAGGGACGAAAAAAGGCUUUUCUAAGUCGUCUGACGGUACCUUAUGAAUAAGCACCGGCUAACUCCGUGCCAGCCGCCGCCGUAAGAC